UUUGUUUAAAGUUUCACCGUAAUAAUGAUGUGGAACUCUACACACGCUGCGCCUUGGUCCCGUCCUUAUUAUGAAUGUGACAUACUGCCUAUCUUGGUCAACCUAAAUGAACCACGCUUUAAUUUAGAUUUAAAUUCUGAAACAAAACUCAUAGUAUGGGCAAAUCAAACAAUUACAAUGACCAGAGACUACUGAGGCUCACUCUAUAAACCAACACCUCACCAAAAUAUAUCUUAUGGGAUUAACAUGUCGGAUUUCCUGCUAUGGGCUUCACUGUUCCUCUCAAGCGUCCAAGAACAGAACUGUCAGGAUGGUGAGUACAAAACUUUAUCGUUACAAUACUUUUGACUGAUACAGUACUGUAUGUCAUGUUGAAUUGUAUUAUGAGACUACACCUAUGUAACUCCAGUGGUCCUGCUGUCUGGACCUCUGAAUGUGAGGGUGGAUUACAACCUACAACACCAGAGGAUCUCUGUAACAUGGGAAGAUGGCCCUUCUACCUACAGAGUACCGGACAAACGGAUUUAUGAUGUGGCGGUUCUCUUAAAACACAAUAUGAAAGAAGUAUACAAUGUGAGUGUUUGUUAAAUCAAGGAAUAAUAUGCAAUUUACAACAAUGGAACUUCUUUCUACAACUGGUUGCUUUUGCAAGAUUAUUAUAAGUAAGUAUAGUACCAGUGACUGGGUGUCCUCAGGAAGCUGUGGAUGUCACACCAGACCAGGUUGGCAGUAAACAUCACUGGAAUUGGACUUCUGCUUUACCCCUAGAGUGCACCUCCCACUCAGUCAGGCUCUGCUCCCGAUACCAGAGCUAUGCCAGUCAAUGGAGCCCCCUACAGAACAUCACUGAGCUUGUCCACACGAUACAGUCUCAAACUGCUACCAAACAGUACGUGUGGAUCAGGGGGAGAGGAAUUGGACAUUGACUCCCAGAAACCCGCUCUGGAGCUCAGAGACACAGCUGACCUGAAGAAGAGAGUGAGUUUACUGGCUCCCAUGGAAGUGGUAGCUUCAGAUAAGAAUGCCAGAAAUGCCCGUGUUCAAUGGUUUGUAAAGUACAGCUGAACCACAGUGGACACAUAUGCAUGAGGAGAUUUUCUGGCAUAAAUCUUACGUCAGUAGUUUUACGUGACCUAGCACCUGCCCAGACAUACAAAGUGCAGGUGCUUUGUGGAUUAAAACAGAACUUCUGGAAAUGGAGCGACUGGAGUAGAGAUAGUACCUUCCAAACCACGGAGGACACCCCUUACAGUGAAACAGAGUCAUGGGCAGAUCAAGGACUAUGAGGUGACCUGGGGUAGGCAGAAGACCAUUGUCCAUCCACCUCAGCAUUACUUUCUCCUCGGUGAUCAAUUUACCAACGAGGGACAUAGUCACAGUUACAGCCCAAAACUCUGCUGGCAGCUUGAUCGUCACUAUUCCCAGGCUCCCUCACAGAAUGAAAAGCUCCAUGAAAAUUGUUGGCCGUGAUGGUGGGUUUGCCCUACCUUGUUCCGCUAGCCCCAAUGCUAGCUGUGGCUACAUGGUGGACUGGUGUCCCACAUACAUUGAAUGCAGACUGGAGUGGAAGAAGGUACCACCUGGUAUUACCAAGGCCAGAAUCCAAUCAGAUAGCUUUAAAGAGAGGGUGAGAUACACACUCCAUCUAUGCCUGUACUCCAUGGGUCCCAGAGCUACUGGAGAACAGGGAUGGCUUUGUGAAAGAGUUAGGUUCAGGGUUUGGCUGCAGAACAGCAUGGUUCAGACACAGUUCUGAUCUCCUGGACUGGUAUUCCCCCUGAGAAUCAGACUGCGUUCAUUUGUGGUUACAUCAUAUAAUACUCUGAUACCUCCCAUCCUUCCAGCAUGAGAGCUUUCAAUGUCACUACAGAUGAGGCUGAGGCUAAGAACCUGACAGGCCUACCUAUCAGCCCCUACAGAUUCAUAGUGAAGGCCCUCACAUCAGUAGGGGAUGGCGGAGAGUCUUCACCAGUCUUUGUCCAAAUGGUCCCGCAGACUGAUCAGUUGAUCACAGCGAUUGUCAUUUCCCUGAGUUCGGCUGCCUGUCUCCUCACGCUGGUCACGAUCUUAUGCUUCAGAAACUGGAAAUGGUAGGAACGUGUUUACUGUCAUGUUGUCAAAUGCUGUUACAAAGACAGCUCCAACUCCAUUGGUGGCUGUUUUUCAGGACCUGUCCAUUUUACUGUUUUAUCAACUAUUUAUAUUAUUGUGUCAACAAUGUGAAAGAGAAUCUGUAUCCUACAAUUCCAAAGCAAGUGUGGAAGGCGGAAUGGUUGACACCACCGGUAGGUCCUCAGUCCCACUCCAUCUUAUUUUUGCAUAUACAGUGCAUUCGGGGUUCCCGAGUGGCGCAGUGGUCUAAGGCACUGUAUCUCAGUGCGAGAGGCGUCACUACUGGUGACGCCCCCUGGUUCGAUUCCAGGCUGUAUCACAACCGGACGUGAUUGGGAGUCCC